rnacentral:rRNA from 1 species
CCAGCCUGCCAGUGACCUAGUUCAACGGCCGCGGUAUCCUAACCGUGCGAAGGUAGCGUAAUCACUUGUUCUUUAAAUGAGGACUAGUAUGAAUGGCACCACGAGGGUUAAGCUGUCUCCUUUUUCUAAUCAGUGAAACUAAUCUCCCCGUGAAGAAGCGGGGAUUAUAUUAUAAGACGAGAAGACCCUAUGGAGCUUAAAACAAAUUAACACCUGCUUCUAUCUAUUUUUCUUCCUGAACUGACACAUAAAAUAUAGCACUAUUGAUUAAUAGUUUUCGAUUGGGGUGAUCACGGAGCAAAAACCAACCUCCACGACGAAAAGGGGACACUCCCCUGAGCUAAAAGCUACAACUUUAAGCACUAAAAAAUUAACGCACUUUGACCCAAAUUUUUGAGCAACGAACCAAGUUACCCUAGGGAUAACAGCGCAAUCCAUUUCAAGAGCCCCUAUCGACAAAUGGGUUUACGACCUCGAUGUUGGAUCAGGGUAUCCCAGUGGUGCAGCCGCUACUAAAGGUUCGUUUGUUCAACGAUUAAAACCCUACGUGAUC